GUAAACGGCGGCCGUAACUAUAACGGUCCUAAGGUAGCGAAAUUCCUUGUCGGGCAAGUUCCGACCUGCACGAAUGGCAUAAUGAUGGCCACACUGUCUCCUCCUGAGACUCAGUGAAGUUGAAAUGUUUGUGAUGAUGCAAUCUCCCCGCGGCUAGACGGAAAGACCCCAUGAACCUUUACUGCAGCUUUGCAUUGGACUUUGAACCGAUCUGUGUAGGAUAGGUGGGAGGCAGUGAAGCUAGGACGCCAGUCUUAGCGGAGCCAACCUUGAAAUACCACCCUGAUUUGUUUGAGGUUCUAACCUAGGAGCGUGAUCCGCUUCGGGGACCGUGCAUGGUAGGCAGUUUGACUGGGGCGGUCUCCUCCUAAAGGGUAACGGAGGAGUGCGAAGGUACGCUAGGUACGGUCGGAAAUCGUGCUGAUAGUGCAAUGGCAAAAGCGUGCUUGACUGCGAGACCGACAAGUCGAGCAGAUACGAAAGUAGGUCAUAGUGAUCCGGUGGCUCUGCAUGGAAGGGCCAUCGCUCAACGGAUAAAAGGUACUCUGGGGAUAACAGGCUGAUACCGCCCAAGAGUUCAUAUCGACGGCGGUGUUUGGCACCUCGAUGUCGGCUCAUCUCAUCCUGGGGCUGUAGUCGGUCCCAAGGGUAUGGCUGUUCGCCAUUUAAAGAGGUACGUGAGCUGGGUUUAAAACGUCGUGAGACAGUUUUGUCCCUAUCUGCCGUGGGCGUUGGAAGAUUGACGGGGGCUGCUCCUAGUACGAGAGGACCGGAGUGGACUCACCUCUGGUGUACCGGUUGUCACGCCAGUGGCAUCGCCGGGUAGCUAUGUGGGGAAAGGAUAACCGCUGAAAGCAUCUAAGCGGGAAACCUGCCUGAAGAUAAGUCUUCCUGGAGGCUUUGACCUCCCUGAAGAGUCGUUCGAGACCAGGACGUUGAUAGGUUGGAUGUGCAAGCGCUGUGAGGCGUUGAGCUGACCAAUACUAAUUGCUCGUGAAGCUUGAUCCU
rnacentral:rRNA from 1 species